rnacentral:rRNA from 1 species
UACGAAGGGUGCUAGCGUUGUUCGGAAUUACUGGGCGUAAAGCGCGCGUAGGCGGCAAUGCAAGUCAGGGGUGAAAUCCCAGAGCUCAACUCUGGAACUGCCUUUGAAACUGCAUUGCUUGAGUAUCGGAGGGGAGAGCGGAAUUGCUAAUGUAGCGGUGAAAUGCGUAGAUAUUAGCAGGAACACCGGUGGCGAAGGCGGCUCUCUGGACGAUAACUGACGCUGAGGCGCGAAAGCGUGGGGAUCAAACAGG